GGCGUCUAUCACUGAUUCGCUAGCGCGCUGUGAAGUUGUCCCUCCCACCUGGCACCUAUCGUUCUGGCCCCCGCGCUUCAUCCACCACUGCCUCAACUACCCUGCGAGGGUUCUGUUAGUGCCCAUGACGCAUGCCAAAGUCUCCUUAGCACCCACGGGAUGACUAUUAUACGGGAACGCGAGGCUCUUCUUCAGGCUUCCUUCAAGACCGCAACAAUGAAGGACUCACCACACCACUCGUCGGUGUUGUCUCCCCCACUUUGGAGAACUUGCACCUCCUGAAGACUAUGGACAAUGUCGGCGAGAAGGUCAUGGGCGUACCUGUUACUACCGAGCCCUCAUCAACUAUUGCCCCAGACUUGAAUGUGUAGAGCUAUGUUGCUUGGUUUAUUUUCUAUUAUUCUUAUGUAUUCCAACUUCCUCGAAUGCGAGAAUUAAAUUUAUUUUCAUGAUUCAUA